CAGACUCAACCUAAGUUUGGAUCUCUAUCCACAUAUAUUGGAUCUCACUGUUGGAUCUUUUAAUCCCAAAUCCUCAAAAUCGACGUCUGAAUCCCUAACAUUAAUUUUUUUUUUCUCUCUUGAAGAACGACAAACUUGAAGAACCCACCAAAUCCCUCCGUCGUUCUUCUCUCGGAGCUCUACUCUACUCUCGUCGCCGGCAAACCUCCUCUUCUUCCCUAUUCUCUCCUUUUUUCGAUCUUCAUUCUUCUUUCUUCUCGUUGGAAAUCCACCGUGAGAAAUCCAAAUUCAUGUUCAUCCGUGUCCUCUCUUUAUGAUGAGAUUAUGAGAGUAUGCAAAACAAAGAUUUAAGCAAUGUUCUAAGAAGAAAUGUUAGUUGGCACCGAAAAGGAUAGUUAAGCCUUCAAUUCAUGUCAACGAACCGUAUACGGAAGAAAAGAUGAAGAUGGAGAUCGAAGGAGAAGAAGAAGGUCUCUUGGUGGUUUUAGAUAUAUUGUAUGGUUUUUGAUACCACUGUGUUGGUGUUUUGGCUUUAGGUACAAAUGUUCGGAUUGUGUUUUGGUUUAUAAGGUUAUGUAUGAAUCUAAGUGUUUAGGUACAACUGAUACGAACAGGUACAACUAUGUAUCUGGGUUUAUAAAUCUAAGUGUUUAGGUACAAUUGUUCA